CAACUUCCUCUGGUGUGUGAGAGCCAGGAAUAGGUCGGCUUGAUUGCUUACUUCAGAAGAACGCGCUCUAUGCACUCUGCUCCUGAAGCUGUCGCCUGAUACAUAUAAGAACACCGUCUUCAUCUCUUUUGCUCUUGAUGUCACUACACUGGGGCCUUGGACAAGCAUGCUGGAUUUUGAUGUGACAAGAAAUAUCGAGAACAUGAACUCUUUGCUUCUCUGGUUUUGCUGGAUGAUUCCUUUGUCUCUAGAGGAGAAGAGAACUGGAGGUUUCACAACAAAAGACUAGAAUACUGCAAUUGAGAGGUUGCUCCAGACUCAACCAUAGUUCUUCUUCAGACUGGAAAUGAAAUGCAUUGGUAAAGGAGAUAGGUAGGAACAUGUCAAUUUUAAGUAUAAUAAAACUAAAUGUUUAUCUACUAGCUUGAAAGGC
rnacentral:lncRNA from 1 species